rnacentral:rRNA from 1 species
CAGCCGCCGCGGUAAUACGUAGGGUGCAAGCGUUAAUCGGAAUUACUGGGCGUAAAGCGUGCGCAGGCGGUUUUGUAAGACAGAGGUGAAAUCCCCGGGCUCAACCUGGGAACUGCCUUUGUGACUGCAAGGCUAGAGUACGGCAGAGGGGGAUGGAAUUCCGCGUGUAGCAGUGAAAUGCGUAGAUAUGCGGAGGAACACCGAUGGCGAAGGCAAUCCCCUGGGCCUGUACUGACGCUCAUGCACGAAAGCGUGGGGAGCAAACAGGAUUAGAUACCCCGGUAGUCCCUGUCUCUUAUAC